UGGGGAAUCUUGCGCAAUGCGCGAAAGCGUGACGCAGCAACGCCGCGUGCGGGAAGACGGCCUUCGGGUUGUAAACCGCUUUCAGUUGGGACGAAGCUUCGCCGGUGAAUAGCCGGCCGGAGUGACGGUACCUUCACAAGAAGCCCCGGCUAACUACGUGCCAGCAGCCGCGGUAAUACGUAGGGGGCAAGCGUUGUCCGGAAUCAUUGGGCGUAAAGCGCGUGUAGGCGGCUUCGUCAGUCCGUUGUGAAAGUCCAGGGCUCAACCCUGGAAUGCCGAUGGAUACUGCGGAGCUCGAGUCCGGAAGAGGCAAGUGGAAUUCCUGGUGUAGCGGUGAAAUGCGCAGAUAUCAGGAGGAACACCAAUGGCGAAGGCAGCUUGCUGGGACGGUACUGACGCUGAGACGCGAAAGCGUGGGGAGCAAACAGG
rnacentral:rRNA from 1 species